rnacentral:other from 1 species
UGACGAAAGUGUAGCUUUUGUUUUAUGAGUAAUGAAACGGUGGUCAAUUUUUUAAAAUUGUUUUGGAGGAAUUUCACAUGAACACAGGUAAAGUAAAAUGGUUUAACGCAGAAAAAGGUUUUGGAUUCAUUGAGACGGACGGAGGUACAGACGUAUUCGUUCACUUCACAGCGAUCCAAGGUACUGGAUUCAAAACGUUGGAAGAAGGCGAAAAAGUAACAUUUGACAUCGUGAAUGGCAACCGUGGGCCGCAAGCGGCAAACGUCCAAAAAGCAUAAAUAGUCAAACGUACGGGAUCUCGCUUUUCGUGAGAUCCCGUUUU